rnacentral:rRNA from 1 species
GGGCGAGUAACGCGUGAUCAACCUGCCCUUGGGAGGGGGAUAGCUAUCCGAAAGGAUAGGUAAUACUCCAUAAGACUACGGCAUCGCAUGGUGCUGCGGUCAAAGAGUUGGGAUCUUCGGACCUUCUGCCCGAGGAUGGGAUCGCGUCCUAUUAGCUUGUUGGUGGGGUAACGGCCUACCAAGGCGAUGAUGGGUAGCCGGCCUGAGAGGGUGGUCGGCCACACUGGGACUGAGACACGGCCCAGACUCCUACGGGAGGCAGCAGUGCUGAAUCAUUCGCCAAUGCGCGAAAGCGUGACGGUGCGACGCCGCGUGCGGGAUGAAGGCCUUCGGGUUGUAAACCGCUGUCAGGGUCUAGGAAACCGCCGACGUGAAUAGCGGCGGCGCUGACCAGGCCCAAAGGAAGUGCAGGCUAACCUCGUGCCAGCAGCCGCGGUAAGACGAGGUGCACAAGCGUUGUUCGGAAUCACUGGGCAUAAAGAGUGCGUAGGCGGUCUGGUAGGUCGGGUGUGAAAGCCCUCGGCUCAACCGGGGAAUUGCUUCCGAUACUGCCAGACUUGAGAGCGAAAGGGGCAAGCGGAAUUCCAGGUGUAGCGGUGGAAUGCGUAGAUAUCUGGGAGAACGCCGAAGGCGAAGGCAGCUUGCUGGGUCGCAUCUGACGCUGAGGCACGAAAGCUAGGGGAGCGAACAGGAUUAGAUACCCUGGUAGUCCUAGCUGUUAACGAUGGGCACUUUGCUUUGGGGGACCUGAUUCCCUCAGGGCCGGAGCUAACGCGUUAAGUGCCCCGCCUGGGGAGUAUGGUCGCAAGGCUAAAACUCAAAGGAAUUGACGGGGGCUCACACAAGCGGUGGAGCAUGUUGUUCAAUUCGAAGCAACGCGAAGAACCUUACCUGGGCUUGACAUGCUAGUGGUACAAACCCGAAAGGGGGCGGACCUCUUAACCGAGGAGCUAGCACAGGUGCUGCAUGGCUGUCGUCAGCUCGUGUCGUGAGACGUUGGGUUAAGUCCCGUAAUCGAACGAAUCCCUUGUCGAUUCGUUGCUACCGGGUCAUGCCGGACUCUCUGGCGAGACGACUGGUGUUAAGCCGGAGGAAGGUGGGGAAGAUGUCAAGUCAUCAUGGUCUUUACGUCCAGGGGUACAAUCGUGUUACAAUGGCAGGU